AUUAUUUUUAAUUAUUGCUUGUAAUUAUUGUCGUAAUGUUGAUUCAAAUUAUUACCAAAUAAAACAAAAUUUCAAAAAUAUUCUAAAGUGAUCUGUCAUGCAUUAAUAUUAAUUGGUUAUGGGCAUUUUUCCAAGGAACUCAAAUCCAAUUCAUCACAUGCAACACCUCUCCCAUUUUAUUCACGUGCACCCCCCUUUUUUUUUCUUUUUUUCCUUCUUCCUUAUUUCCUUUUGUUUUUCUUUUUCCUUUUGUUUUUCUUUUUUUUUUUAAUUUUUAUUUUUAUUUUUUUUUCUUUUACUUUUUGCUUUUCUUUUUUUCCUUUUCUUUUCUUUUUUUUGUCCCUUUUUUCAAAAUGAAUAUAAAAAAUUAAAUCAAAUUAAAUAAUAAUAAAGAAAGCUAAAUCAAAUACCAAAUAGUAAAACAAAAUAAAAAAAUGAAAAAAUAAAAAUAAAAUAACAAAAAAAAAGCAAGUCCUAUUAUUUAGUUAUCCAGACAAAAUUGGGUGUUGACAAUCCUCAAAUAAGUAUCAGCAAAACUGGAAACCUUAUGUUCCACGUCAACAAAGGC
rnacentral:lncRNA from 1 species